ACAUAUCCACCAUGAGAAUUUUCCUUGUUUACUCAAAGCGACAUGCUCCGUAGUUGUUAUUAUGUGGUGAGUUUUAGGGGUUGCUCAUGUGCAAUUGUAGUAUGACACUUUUUUUUUGUCAAGUGAAUUUGCAUAAUUUAUGACAUUCACGACAAAGAUUCACAUAUCUGGUUGCAACUCAUUUGGCUAAGAGGUGCCAUCUACUGUUACAUGUCCAGUUGUUUCUUGGUUGUGUUGCAUUAUAUUGUUCAUAUGCUUAAAGAUGAAUCUCGAAGAUGCCACAAGCACAUGACUGUAGCUUAUUUGCAGCCUUUAGAGUUUAAACAGCACUAAAACGAAUACAAUCUUACUUGCUGGACUUUCUUAGCAAACCUAUCCUGAUUCAUUUAUAAUGCUUUUGUGAUAUGAAUCAAUUUAUUGCAGAUUAUUUACUAUGCAAGCAGCCAUCUUGUCUUUUAUUAUUCUUCCAUUAUUUGUCGCCUGGUUGUUUUUGUGGAAUGUUUGCUUCAUUUUAUGCUGGACUGAAUUUUCUUAGAGAUUUAAUGUGGUCACCACAGUUCUAUCUGUGCAUAGCAACCACGUUUAUUGACCGUGUUUCUUGUGUCUGAGCAGUAGCAGAUAUGCCGCUUUCUAAAGCUGUUAGUUAUGUUGUGUUGGCCACUCCAUGUUUUAGACUCAUGUAAUGUAAUAAUUCUCUAUUCUGUUUUUUUCUCAAACUAUGCAGGAGAGCUGUGUCAUUCCGCUAAGACAGAAAAAAGGGUACAAUGGGCCAAGAGCAGAGGCCAAAGCUGAGUACAAAACCCCACUCACCCACUCAAAACAACCUAGACCAGAUAACAAACUUGCCGCAAACAGAAAAGAAAACUUGACCAGCAGAGCCUGCUGAGGAACUCACCGAGUCCGGACGCCCCUGCUAAACACCACAGGACAAACCCAUGGUUUGAAGGAGCUCAGCGAUGUUGGGCUGAACCCUGUCAAAAACACAAGGGUUCCUAUGCUUCCAAACUUCCCAUGCCAUAAGAACGAUCAGGGAAUCCAGUCCCUUGCAUAAACCUUUUUUUUUUGGCGGGGGGGGGGGGGGGGGGGGGGGGGGGGCUACUCCUGAUGUGUGCCCUCACCAGAUAGAGAAGCGCGUCGCCUUUGCCGAAGGUGGUACAGUAGACCAGGUCCAAGCUCUCCAAAACCAGGGACCAAAUUUCCUCUCUACUAGUUUGUUAUGUUUGAUACUUCACGUCUUCUUGCAUUUGCAUCAUGAGCAUGAGCUCUGUUCUUCUUGUCCAAUGUUUAUUACAUGGCAUGUGGCUCUAAAGCUGGGGUAGCAUUAUGGAGAUGACCACUUCGUUCUUUCUUUAGACAGCAGCUGCGCAUUUCUUUCAGAAAUGGUCCUGUUAGCAGCAGAACAGUAUGAAGAUGGGCUGGUAAGACAUUCUUGUUUGUAUAACUGUGUUUGUGGAGUCACUUCUCAUCUUUCCAUAUUAUGUUCGUUUGAUUCCAAAACCAUAGGGAUUGAGGGGGAUUGGAAGGGAUUGGAGAGGAUUUUGACUUAUAGGGGAUUUAAUCGCCUUCAAUCCCUAUAGAUUGGCACAAAACAAACAUGGCCUUAAAGGGAAAAUUAAAGGGCUCAAGUUUAGUCUAUUCUAUUGUUGUGUCUGAAGAAAUGCACCAGAACUGAAAAUUAUGCGUGAAACUUGAUCAAAA
rnacentral:lncRNA from 1 species